GUGGAUGAGGCAUGCAAGUCGAACGGAAUCAGGGGUUAAACCUUGAUUCAGUGGCGGAAGGGUUAGUAAUAAAUGGAUAAUCUGCCUUUAACUUUGGAAUAACGGUUGGAAACGAUCGCUAAUACCAAAUGUGGAGACGAUAGGCAUCUAUCGUUCUUUAAAGUGGGGGACUGUUAUAGGCCUUGCGGUUAGAGAAGAGUCCAUUCGAUAUCAGCUAGUUGGUGAGGUAAAAGCUCACCAAGGCUAAGACGUCUAGGCGGAUUGAGAGAUUG
rnacentral:rRNA from 1 species